UACGGAAGGCAGCAGUGGGGAAUAUUGCACAAUGGGCGCAAGCCUGAUGCAGCCAUGCCGCGUGUAUGAAAAAGGCCUUCGGGUUGUAAAGUACUUUCAGUCGUGAGGAAGGUGUUAAGGUUAAUAACCUUAGCAAUUGACGUUAGCGACAGAAGAAGCACCGGUUAACUCCGUGCCAGCAGCCGCGGUAAUACGGAGGGUGCGAGCGUUAAUCGGAAUUACUGGGCGUAAAGGGCACGCAGGCGGUUAAUUAAGUUGGAUGUGAAAUCCCCGGGCUUAACCUGGGAAUGGCAUUCAAGACUGGUUAGCUAGAGUCUUGUAGAGGGGGUAGAAUUCCAUGUGUAGCGGUGAAAUGCGUAGAGAUGUGGAGGAAUACCGGUGGCGAAGGCGGCCCCUGGACAAAGACUGACGCUCAUGUGCGAAAGCGUGGGGAGCAAACAGGGAUUAGAUACC
rnacentral:rRNA from 1 species